GCUUCACAAGUGGGUGAAAGGCGGUGUAAACGCGUCACUGGUCAGCUCAUUAAUGAACACAGCCAGCCCGUAACGUCAUGCGAUCAGAAUGCCUAGUUACUCUGUUCAUUCAAGCGAAGCAAAACAUAGCAUUGACCGGAAGUUAAUUUUUGUGAUAACUUUUUUUUUUCUCAUGUAGGCCUAGACUCUAGAGAUAGACAUAUUGUUUGAGACACGGAAAAAGUUUGACCUAGAUCUAGAUCUAGACCUACUUUGAGUGGAAGCAGACGUGUUGUUAUUGAUGAUCCUGGAUACAAAUAUUUCUUGUUCAAUCAUCUACUUUUUUGGAUAAUUUAAUGUGAUUCAACUAUUGGAUAUUCCUUACAACUUGGAUUAUUGAAAUAGCACGGAUUAUUGGAGCAGAUUGGAUUAUUUAUUACUCAAAGAGUUGACAGUUGGAUGGCUGCCUGGUCGUGCUGUUUGCAUGCUGGACUGUUAUUUUGAUUUAUUGAAGGUCUUUCGUUCAAACCCUGCCCAGUCCCAUCCCCCAUUGUCCUGCAGGAGGUUUGAACUAGGAAGUAAACUAUCUUCAACUGUGAAGGAACAUCCAAAACAUAUAAAACAAACAAACAGACAGAAACAAAUAUUGAAUCUACAUUGCUCUACAUCUUCCCAGCAGGUCACUAUGAUGCAAGUACUUUAACACUUUUACAACUUUCAUGGGUUCUAUAGUCUUUGUUCAACUUGAUUUUUUAAAUUUUUUCUUUUAUGUGUUCUAACAUUCAAAAUUUAAAUAGUGCCAUUCAUAAUUUAGCAUAUAUUUAAACAUUUACAUAUUAUUUUUUAAAGAUAUUAAUAAUAAUAAUCUUUAUUAUCCAUAAGGAGAUUAGUCUUACAAUUUGUGCAUUACACCAAACAAAACAUUCUAACUAUAGAAAAUCAAUUUAUAUAUUUACAACAGACUCACUCAUAAUUUAAUAAUGAAUAUAUAUAUAUCUCAACUGUCAAGAAAUAUUUAAGAUAUCUAUAAAUAAGAAUGUUUACUCCUUUAAAAACAAGAGUAUUAAAUCUAAAAAUAAUAAUACCCAUCCCUUAUGAUUUGUAUUUAAUAUAUUAUUUUUUUAAUUAUCUAUUUAACAAUAUCUUUUAAUGAUGUUACAUGUGCUUGUACUAGAGAUGGGAAAUGAAUCGAACCUGAACCAAACAAAUUGAACUCAAACCUCACUUACAACUGAACUGAACCCGAACUUUAAGACUGAUCGGUCUGAACUGAACUUAACCAACUGUCCUUACCUUCACCGAACUGAAUCAAAGAUUUUUGCAAUAUUUUUUAGUAAGAAAAGAUAAAAACUUAGUAUCAGUGAGAGGAUUGGACAGUUAUUUUUAAUUUUUGGAUAACUCAGCUGGAUCAUUUUGGGUUGUCUUCUUUUGAUUCACAGCCAAUGUACUGUAACAUUUAACAUUUGUGCUUUAAUGAAAUGGGAGAAUCGAAGAAACUAAAAGUAGACUCAGAAUGUAGAAACUACCAAGAAAAGUGGACAGAUCUUUGUCUUUUUAUUGAGUAUGAAAAUAAGUCAAUAUUUUUUAUUGGUAUAUAAAUGUUUGUAGCUUUUUUUAAAGAACACAACAUUAACAGCAUUAUCAUAUAAAAAAACAACAACAAAUAUUGCAGCAUUCUUAGUUUGAGCCACAAAGAAAAAAAUUGCUAAGAAACAUCUAGAAAUCAGAAGAUUGUUUUAUCUAAUUAUUAACUGAAUUAAACAUUAUUACAUAUACCUAAUUUUGCUAUUACCAUACUGCUUCAUCUUGGCGUCUCAUCAAUACAGUGUGAUAUUUAAAAGUUGGUUUUGGAUAAACAUCCUACAUCCCAUGAAUAAGUGUAAAUAUUAUAUUCAUGUGGGAGGUGCUGUGACUAGGUGGUAAAGAGCUUGACUUGCGAUCCAAGGGGGUCCCAGGUUUGAAUCCUGCAUCUUAAGGUGGUAGUCUCUGAGUUCACCAAGCUCUAUUGGGUACCUGACAUUAGUUUGGGAAAAGUAAAGGCGGUUGGUCAUUGUGAUGGUUACAUAACACCCUCGAUAACCGUUGACCACAGAAAUAGAUGACCUUUACAACAUCUGCCCUAUAGAUCAUAAGGUCUGAAAGGGAACAUUUUUUAAACUAUGUCCACAGGUUUAUAAUAAAAGUGCUUUAUUUUUAUUUGAUGUUUUUUUAAAAUCUUUUCUGUUAUUUGGCCCGCGAAAUGAGUGUUGGAAAUUAAAAAGGCCCACUGGCUGAAUAAGGUUUCACAUAGCUGUUUUAUCUAAUCAUUAAUUUAAUUAAACAUCAUUACAUGUACCUAAUUUUACUAUUACCUAAUUUCAUAACAUCAAACCGAACCCGAACUUUAGACCUGACUGAACCAAUCUGAACUAUCCUUAUCAUCAUACCGAACCGAACCCAAACUUACAUCUGACAGAAUGGAACCAGAACUUUAAAAGUUAGGUUCGAUUCCCAUCUCUAGUUUGUACAUGUGGAUGUUUGAUUGUAUUAAAAAAACUAUGUAAUUUUAUGAAUGUGAUAGAAAAAUACCAGAAUGAAAUAAUUAAUUUUAAUGUUUAUAAAAAAAAACCACUGUAAAAUAUAUGCUUUAAAAUUAGUGAGUUUUAAAGGCCUUUCUUUUCUUCACUUUCUUAUCAUAAAAUGAAAAUAGUAUUAUAAACAAAAAGCACAGCUGUUCAUCAAACAUGAUUAUAUAAUGCUGAUUUGAAAGUUGGCUAAAUGAGGUUAAUAAUAGCUUUAAUGAUACUUAGAAACAUUUUAAUGAAACACACAGGGUUAAAGAUUGCUAAAUAGACUAAGACAAUUACAAGAAAGGUUGACAAAGUAGAUAAUUAUGUUAACCUGAUUUAAUAAAGUAUCCCUAAUAUAGUAAUUAAAUAAAGUAAAAAAAGUUUUAAAGAUCCUGCCAGCAUGUGGUUUGCACUCUAGAAGGUAGUUUGAUGGGUCACAGGGUUGAACCCUGCCCAAUGACAUCCCCCACCAGACUUCUGGAGUUUUGGGCUAGGAUGUAAUAAUCUACAAAUUUGAAGGAACAUUCCAAACAUGUAAAAAAACAAACAAUAAUCAUUACACCUGUGCUACACUGUACUGGACAAGUAUUCAUUUAUAGUGGCUUAGAUUCUGGAUUUUACCCAUUCACAUAAUUAUUGAUACAUGUCCUAUAGUGACCGCUACCAAGGGACUCCACAUAUCCUGAUUAGAGAUUAUAAACUAGUUGAUUCAUUCUAUAGAGUGUAUUUCUUCUACAAGUUAUCCAGACAGUCCUUGUUUCACUUUGUGUAGCCUGUCAACUCUUUAAAGCUAAGUUCUACAAGUUAUCCAGUCAGACCCCCAUCACAUCAAAAACUAUUGUUACGAGCAUCUGAGACUCUUAAGUAUACACCAAAUAGAGCCAUCAAUAGAAUUUUAAUCUUGUUCAACAAAUAAUAAUAUGUUACAUCUCGUUUACAUUACUCCAUUUUUUGAUCCAUCUCUUAUCUUUCCUAUUUCAACACACAUUUGUACCAUUUCACUUUCACACUAUUAUGCGCAUGUAACAUCUUGGAUAACCAACAUUUUGUUUAGUAGUGCAGAAAAAUUGAGAAGAACAGAUCAGCAACAAAAAACUGACUAGAUGCCAAAGAAUAAAUUGUUUUUAAUAUUAUGUUCUAAACUAUCAUGAAUUGUAUAUAAACUUAAAUGGAGUUCUAUUUAUAUCUUUUGAUAUUUUUUUUCACAUCAUUUUCUUGAAGAUAAUGAUUGCUUGGAUACACCAGGUGUCCUCCCAUGUUCUAUACAUUUGUGUUUUAACAUAAAUUUUAAAAAAUCUUUUCAUUACAACAAUAAUAGAAAAAAAGUUGUUACAUAGUGCAGAAAAUAUUUAUCUUGAACUAAUUCUAAUAAAGUUUGUUUUUUUCCUUUGCUUAA